GACGGGGCCCGCACAAGCGGUGGAGUUAUGUGGUUUAAUUCGACGCAACGCGCAGAACCUUACCAGGUCUUGACAUCCCCUGACAACCCGAGAGAUCGGGCGUUCCCCUUCGGGGGACAGGGUGACAGGUGGUGCAUGGUUGUCGUCAGCUCGUGUCGUGAGAUGUUGGGUUAAGUCCCGCAACGAGCGCAACCCUCGACCUUAGUUGCCAGCAUUCAGUUGGGCACUCUAAGGUGACUGCCGGCUAAAAGUCGGAGGAAGUGGGGAUGACGUCAAAUCAUCAUGCCCCUUAUGACCUGGGCUACACACGUGCUACAAUGGGCGGUACAAAGGGUCGCGAACCCGCGAGGGGGAGCCCAAUCCCAAAAAGCCGCUCUCAGUUCGGAUUGCAGGCUGCAACUCGCCUGCAUGGAGCCGGAAUCGCUAGUAAUCGCGGAUCAGCAUGCCGCGGUGAAUACGUUCCCGGGCCUU
rnacentral:rRNA from 1 species